UAAGGAAUAUUGGUCAAUGGACGAAAGUCUGAACCAGCCAUGCCGCGUGAAGGAUGACGGCCCUCUGGGUUGUAAACUUCUUUUAUCUGGGACGAAAAAAGAUCAUUCCUGAUCACUUGACGGUACCGUAAGAAUAAGCACCGGCUAACUCCGUGCCAGCAGCCGCGGUAAUACGGAGGGUGCAAGCGUUAUCCGGAUUCACUGGGUUUAAAGGGUGUGUAGGCGGGCUUUUAAGUCAGUGGUGAAAUCUCCGAGCUCAACUCGGAAACUGCCAUUGAUACUAUUAGUCUUGAAUGUUGUUGAGGUGGGCGGAAUAUGUCAUGUAGCGGUGAAAUGCUUAGAUAUGACAUAGAACACCGAUUGCGAAGGCAGCUUGCUAAACAACGAUUGACGCUGAGGCACGAAAGCGUGGGGAUCAAACA
rnacentral:rRNA from 1 species